ACAUACGGCCAUAGAUACAGAAAACUCGGGAUCCCGUCCGCUCUCUCAUAGAUAAGCCACUAAUCGCCUGACUAGUAGUUGGGUCUGUGACGACCAGCGAAAAAUCCCAGGUGCUGUAUGUU
rnacentral:rRNA from 1 species